GCCCUAUGGACUUCAUAGCCUCACCACUGUUCAUUUAUGAAGGGAUUUACCUUUGCUUCCUCUUCAGGCUUAACAAAGCCCGGAUCCAUGAGAGACACUUUGAAGUACAGCAGGACGGAGCACAGAACCAGCAGGACGAAGAUGAGCGGCUGCAGCAGCUCCCCGCGCUCCUCUUGCUCGCGCAGAUCUGAAAGAGGCACAGAGGCCGUGCCUGGCUGGAUGCGGUUACAGGGCCCCAUGAACAAAACGGAGCCUGGAGAAUGCCCGACAUAACUUGAGGAGGGAUGUGAUCUGGCCGGGGAUGUCUGCACUGAAGAGGCUCCUGGCUGAGCGAGGGCAUUGGACGGCCCGCAGAGCGAAGCAGGUAAAUGCAAAACUUACAGCUAUCCUCCCUCAGACACCUCACAGACUGUACUGGUGCUUGAAAAAAAGAAAUCAUACACACGGAACUUCAACCUGAAACUUCAUAACAAAAAAAGUCCACUAAGGUAUGAAAUUACAGCUCCUGCUCUGCCAAUGACCAGAGACUGCAGCUGGCUUUUAAAACCCUGAACAGAUGACUCCAAAAGAAGGUCACGUAACUGGGGAAGCUCACAAAGAGCCUCCAUGCUGGGCUAUAUCUCUUCCAUUCUCUCUGUUGGUGUUGGCUUCCUGUGACAAUCCUGGCUCCUGGGUGAGUGGGCCAAACUUUUCCUAUUCCUCACCUGUAAUUGAUAUUUCUCCUGGAGUUGAUAUCCCAGCUCUGGAUGGCUGCCCACAUCCUCUUCACAACUUCCUCUCGGUGGGGUUCACAGAUCCCCCAAGCCUCUGGACCAUCAAACAUGAUAUGGGAGAGCACUCCACAGGCAUUAUAGGACACCUCAAUCCCGUCGGCUUUGCUCUCCAGCAGGUUGCUGCCAAGGGAGACGAGAUCACUUAGAGGUGCUGAAGCAGCAAAGGUUUAGGAGUCUCCAGGUGAUGGAGGAGCAGAGUUCCAGGCCCAGCUGAUGAGCCAGGCACUCACCUGAACACACUGAUGAACUGGGAGGUCAUGAGCUGCGGGCGGAGCUCCUUCACUUCUGCCACAUUGCCCAGGAGGCCCAGCAUGUUGCGGUGCAGCUCCUGUUUCUCUGGGAAUUCCUGGAUGAGCAAAGGACAGGAUUACAUACAGGUAGGGCCACAGUGAUGCCAAGAACAAGCAACCCUGGGGAAAGGCUGUACAGCACAUCUAGAAAGGCUGAGCACUUUUGGGAAGUCAGGAAUGGCUCCUUAGCAGGAGCCAAAUGGGAUCUGGAGUGCUAAAGGUACAUGUGAAGUGGGAGAGUUGAGACCAGGGCCCUCUGUUCACUGUUCACUGCUGCUCUGCUCAGGGGAACUGAGCAAAGCUGGGGAAACAGGAAGAUGUGUUCAGUUCCUCUGUUCUACUGGCUGGGUGGAAGGAUGUGAGAAGAACAUAGACAAGCUUUUACUUUUCCAUUUGUGCAAUGCAGGAAGUACUCCUUGGAGAGGAGCAGAGCCAGGGAUCCUGCCCAGGCACCCGCAUCUCCACUGCUCGUGGAGACAAUCUCUCCCCAGAGACAAUCACACUUACUUUCAAGCACUCCAAGAACAGUUUCAUGCCGCUGUAGUUAAGGAACAUCUCACAGUUAUCUGGGGUCUCAUCAGUGAUGUUCCAUAGGGCACUCCAGGAGAACUCCAUCACCUGAUCACACUAGAGAGUCAAAGAAGGGACAGAAUCAGAGCUUUGCUAAUGUGGGAGCCUGACACAGAGCAACCACUUGUUUCCUCUGGCAUCACCCCAAAUGGCU